GCUGGGCAUGGUGGCGCAUGCCUGUAAUCCCAGCAGCUUGGGAGGCUGAAGCAGGAGGAUUAUGAGUUCAAAGCCAGCCUCAG
rnacentral:sRNA from 1 species